GUUAUAGGGUCAAGCGAACAAGUGCAUGUGGUGGAUGCCUUGGCGAUCACAGGCGAUGAAGGACGCGGUAGCCUGCGAAAAGCGGUGGGGAGCUGGCAAACGAGCUUUGAUCCACCGAUAUCCGAAUGGGGAAACCCGGCCCGUAUGGGUCAUCCGUAACUGAAUACAUAGGUUACGUGAAGCGAACGCGGUGAACUGAAACAUCUAAGUAACCGCAGGAACAGAAAUCAACCGAGAUUCCCAAAGUAGUGGCGAGCGAAAUGGGAUCAGCCUGUACUCUUUAUCUGAAUUGUUAGUCGAACGCUCUGGAAAGUGCGGCCAUAGCAGGUGAUAGCCCUGUAGACGAAAACAGCUUGGAAGAACUAGGGGUACGAGAAGUAGGGCGGGACACGUGAAAUCCUGUCUGAAGAUGGGGGGACCAUCCUCCAAGGCUAAAUACUCGUGAUCGACCGAUAGUGAACCAGUACCGUGAGGGAAAGGCGAAAAGAACCCCGGGAGGGGAGUGAAAUAGAUCCUGAAACCGCAUGCAUACAAACAGUCGGAGCCUCGUAAGGGGUGACGGCGUACCUUUUGUAUAAUGGGUCAGCGACUUACGUUCAGUAGCGAGCUUAACUGAUUAAGGCAGGCGUAGCGAAAGCGAGUCCGAAUAGGGCGAUCAGUUGCUGGGCGUAGACCCGAAACCAAGUGAUCUAUCCAUGGCCAGGUUGAAGGUGCGGUAACACGUACUGGAGGACCGAACCCACUAACGUUGAAAAGUUAGGGGAUGAGCUGUGGAUAGGGGUGAAAGGCUAAACAAACUUGGAAAUAGCUGGUUCUCUCCGAAAACUAUUUAGGUAGUGCCUCGUGUAUCACCUUCGGGGGUAGAGCACUGUCAUGGUUGUGGGGUCCAUUGCGGAUUACUACGCCAUAGCAAACUCCGAAUACCGAAGAGUGCAAUCACGGGAGACAGACAUCGGGUGCUAACGUCCGGUGUCAAGAGGGAAACAACCCAGACCGCCAGCUAAGGUCCCAAAGAUUGGCUAAGUGGGAAACGAAGUGGGAAGGCUAAAACAGUCAGGAGGUUGGCUUAGAAGCAGCCACCCUUUAAAGAAAGCGUAAUAGCUCACUGAUCGAGUCGUCCUGCGCGGAAGAUGUAACGGGGCUCAAGCCAGUCACCGAAGCUGCGGAUACACGUUGAAAGAUACGUGUGUGGUAGGAGAGCGUUCCGUAAGCCUGCGAAGGUGCGUUGAAAAGCGUGCUGGAGGUAUCGGAAGUGCGAAUGCUGACAUGAGUAGCGAUAAAGGGGGUGAAAAGCCCCCUCGCCGUAAGCCCAAGGUUUCCUACGCAACGUUCAUCGGCGUAGGGUGAGUCGGCCCCUAAGGCGAGGCAGAAAUGCGUAGCUGAUGGGAAGCAGGUCAAUAUUCCUGCACCAUUGUUAGAUGCGAUGGGGGGACGGAUCGCGGAAGGUUGUCCGGGUGUUGGACGUCCCGGUCGCUGCAUUGGAGAAGGUGCUUAGGCAAAUCCGGGCACAUAAUUCAAGGGUGUGGCGCGAGCUUCUUCGGAAGCGAAGCAAUUGGAAGUGGUUCCAAGAAAAGCCUCUAAGCUUCAGUCUAAUAGUGACCGUACCGCAAACCGACACAGGUGGGCGAGAUGAGUAUUCUAAGGCGCUUGAGAGAACUCGGGAGAAGGAACUCGGCAAAUUGGUACCGUAACUUCGGGAUAAGGUACGCCUCUGUAGCUUGACUGGCCUGCGCCAGAAGGGUGAAGAGGUUGCAAUAAACUGGUGGCUGCGACUGUUUAAUAAAAACACAGCACUCUGCAAACACGAAAGUGGACGUAUAGGGUGUGACGCCUGCCCGGUGCCGGAAGAUUAAAUGAUGGGGUGCAAGCUCUUGAUUGAAGUCCCGGUAAACGGCGGCCGUAACUAUAACGGUCCUAAGGUAGCGAAAUUCCUUGUCGGGUAAGUUCCGACCUGCACGAAUGGCGUAACGAUGGCCACACUGUCUCCUCCCGAGACUCAGCGAAGUUGAAGUGUUUGUGAUGAUGCAAUCUCCCCGCGGCUAGACGGAAAGACCCCAUGAACCUUUACUGUAGCUUUGCAUUGGACUUUGAACCGAUCUGUGUAGGAUAGGUGGGAGGCUAUGAAACCGGAACGCUAGUUUCGG
rnacentral:rRNA from 1 species